rnacentral:rRNA from 1 species
GGACCUGACUGCUAUCGGAUUGAUACUAAGCCAUGCGAGUCAUUGUAGCAAUACAAGGCAUACGGCUCAGUAACGCGUAGUCAACCUAACCUAUGGACGGGAAUAACCUCGGGAAACUGAGAAUAAUGCCCGAUAGAACAUUAUGCCUGGAAUGGUUUAUGUUCCAAAUGAUUUAUCGCCGUAGGAUGGGACUGCGGCCUAUCAGUUUGUUGGUGAGGUAAUGGCCCACCAAGACUAUUACAGGUACGGGCUCUGAGAGGAGUAGCCCGGAGAUGGGUACUGAGACACGGACCCAGGCCCUAUGGGGCGCAGCAGACGAGAAAACUUUGCGAAUGUGCGAAAGCACGACGAAGGUUAAUCCGAGUGGUUUCUGCUAAAGAAACCUUUUGUCAGUCCUAGAAACACUGAUGAAUAAGGGGUGGGCGAAGUUCUGGUGU